UACGGAGGAUCCAAGCGUUAUCCGGAUUUAUUGGGUUUAAAGGGUGCGUAGGCGGACUUUUAAGUCAGUGGUGAAAGUUUGCGGCUCAACCGUAAAAUUGCCAUUGAAACUGAAGGUCUUGAGUGUAAAUGAGGUAGGCGGAAUGUGUUGUGUAGCGGUGAAAUGCUUAGAUAUAACACAGAACACCAAUUGCGAAGGCAGCUUACUGGGAUACAACUGACGCUGAGGCACGAAAGCGUGGGGAUCAAAC
rnacentral:rRNA from 1 species